rnacentral:lncRNA from 1 species
UGGCAUCAGUCUUUCCAAAGACUACAUUUCCCAUCUUUGCAAAAAGCCGGGCGUAAAGUGUUCGUAAUCUGUGCGCUUUUAGGUGCAGCGCCCCACAGACGAAGGCAGGAUGCUGCAUCGCACACUGAUCACUCGGGACUCUCCUGUAAACUUUCUCCACCACUUAUAAAACUUCUCUUGAGUAUCUCUUGAGUAUCUUCUGUAUUAAAUAGGAAAGUAAUACAAACCUCAAACUGAACCUCAAAGUGUCUCAGAUUUUCUGUCACCUCUGAUUUCAUCCAGCUGUCACAGACCCUGGUAUAGAAUUCAUGUUUUGUGGCAGCAACUGGCUACGAGAGGUGUAACACUCAGCAGUC